GACGAACGCUGGCGGCGUGCCUAAUACAUGCAAGUCGAACGCUGAAGGAGGAGCUUGCUUCUCUGGAUGAGUUGCGAACGGGUGAGUAACGCGUAGGUAACCUGCCUGGUAGCGGGGGAUAACUAUUGGAAACGAUAGCUAAUACCGCAUAAUAGUAGAUGUUGCAUGACAUUUGCCUAAAAGGUGCAAUUGCAUCACUACCAGAUGGACCUGCGGUGUAUUAGCUAGUUGGUGGGGUAACGGCUCACCAAGGCGACGAUACAUAGCCGACCUGAGAGGGGGGUCGGCCAAACUGGGACUGAGACACGGCCCAGACGCCUACAGGAGGCAGCAGGAGGGAAACUUCGGCAAAGGACGGAAGGCUGACCGAGGAACGCCGCGGGAGGGAAGAAGGGUGUCGGAUCGUAAAGCUCUGUUGUAAGGGAAGAACGAGUGUGAGAGUGGAAAGUUCACACUGUGACGGUAGCUUACCAGAAAGGGACGGCUAACUACGUG
rnacentral:rRNA from 1 species